AUUGAACGCUAGCGGGAUGCCUUACACAUGCAAGUCGAACGGAGUGGCGAACGGGUGAGUAAUGUAUCGGAACGUGCCCAGUAGCGGGGGAUAACUACGCGAAAGCGUAGCUGAUACCGCCUACUAUUGGAGCGGCCGAUAUAGGAUUAGCUAGUUGGUGGGGAAAGGGCUCACCAAGGCGACGAUCCGUCGCUGGUUUGAGAGGACGAACAGCCACACUGGGACUGAGACACGGCCCAGACUCCGACGGGAGGCAGCAGUGGGGAAUUUUGGACAAUGGGCGAAACCCUGAUCCAGCCAUCCCGCGUGUGUGAUGAAGGCCUUCGGGUUGUAAAGCACUUUUGGCAGGAAGGCGGUACCUGCAGAAUAAGCACCGGCUAACUACGUGCCAGCAGCCGCGGUAAUAC
rnacentral:rRNA from 1 species